CCAUAUCACCAGUUCUCAUACGAUCACCGAAGUUAAGCAACAUUAAUCCUGGUCAGUACCUAGAUGGGUGAUCACUUGGGAAUACCAGGUGCUGUAAG